GAUGAAGAACGCAGCGAAAUGCGAUAAGUAAUGUGAAUUGCAGAAUUCAGUGAAUCAUCGAAUCUUUGAACGCACAUUGCGCCCGUCAGUAUUCUGGCGGGCAUGCCUGUCCGAGCGUCAUUUCAACCCUCGAACCCCUCCGGGGGGUCGGCGUUGGGGAUCGGCCCUUUACGGGGCCGGCCCCGAAAUACAGUGGCGGUCUCGCCGCAGCCUCUCCUGCGCAGUAGUUUGCACACUCGCAUCGGGAGCGCGGCGCGUCCACAGCCGUUAAACACCCCAAACUUCUGAAAUGUUGACCUCGGAUCAGGUAGGAAUACCCGCUGAACUUAAGCAUAUCAAUAAGCGGAGGA
rnacentral:misc_RNA from 1 species